rnacentral:rRNA from 1 species
CGGAAGGAUCAUUAGAAAUGCUGGGAAGCCUCCGGGUGGACCUAACUUUUAUGCUCGCUCGUGAUAGGUUUAGGGGGUUGCUUGGGAAGGGAUUCGUUUCUUCCCUUGAUGUUUGGGGGAAUUAUGCUCGCUGAUAGUCAUGGGAAAGUUUUACUAAUCGCUCGUGAUAGUGCUCGUGAUAAAGCCCUUUUUCCUUUGGGAGAAUCCGGUUUGCCCAGUUGAAUUCCCCAUGCUCCGUGAUAGUAGGAUGCUCGCUGAUAGAUACUAUUUUGACUGAACUAAACAGAAAUUGUUUAACACUUAAACAACUUUCAGCAAUGGAUCUCUCGGCUUUCGUAUCGAUGAAGAACGCAGCAAAUCGCGAUAUGUAGUGUGAUCUGCCUAAUCGCUCGUAGUAGUCGCUUGAACGCAUCUUGCACCCUUGGGUAUUCAUGGCUCGCUGAUGAUUUCAGUAUCAUUUUUAUCUUCUUUCCCGUCAUUAGGUUGGUGGGGAAGGAUCGUCGCUGAUAGUGCCUAGAGUACUAGUUUAGACCGGUGCUUCUUGGCUGAAAUUAUUGAUACAGUUUUCCCUUUGACUGGGGCAAUUACCCUUUGGUAGAAUUUCAAAAGGCAAUAUGCUCGCUCUGAGCUAAAGCUGAACCGUCCCUUCGGGGGCAAAUGCUCGCUGAUCAGGCGGGAUUACCC